rnacentral:rRNA from 1 species
AGUGAACGCUGGCGGUAGGCCUAACACAUGCAAGUCGAACGGCAGCACAGUAAGAGCUUGCUCUUACGGGUGGCGAGUGGCGGACGGGUGAGGAAUACAUCGGAAUCUACUUUUUCGUGGGGGAUAACGUAGGGAAACUUACGCUAAUACCGCAUACGACCUACGGGUGAAAGCAGGGGAUCUUCGGACCUUUCGCGAUUGAAUGAGCCGAUGUCGGAUUAGCUAGUUGGCGGGGUAAAGGCCCACCAAGGCGACGAUCCGUAGCUGGUCUGAGAGGAUGGUCAGCCACACUGGAACUGAGACACGGUCCAGACUCCUACGGGAGGCAGCAGUGGGGAAUAUUGGACAAUGGGCGCAAGCCUGAUCCAGCCAUACCGCGUGGGUGAAGAAGGCCUUCGGGUUGUAAGGCCCUUUUGUUGGGAAAGAAAAGCAGCAGGUUAAUACCCCGCUGUUCUGACGGUACCCAAAGAAUAAGCACCGGCUAACUUCGUG